ensembl:lncRNA
AUGGAGCUCCGCGGCCCUGCCGCGCAUGCUUGCGAGGAACCCGCGAGUGCGCUCCUAGAGACUGGCUCUCCAGCGGGGCGGCGCGCGCUCCCUACGGCCAGCGGGGCGGAGCGCGCGACACGGGGCUCGCUCCCGAGAGGGCAGGUGGGGGCGGGGGUGGACACCCGGGUUGCGGUGGCCGGAGGGGCCUGGGCCGCGAGGUCGACGCCUGUGGCUGCAGCGGCCCGAGGCCAGAGGACCCGCCGCGCGGCUCGGUCUCCGGAGAGGGAGGGCCCCGCUGUUGUCACCGCCCGGCCGGUGCCCGGUGAAAUUAGUCCAGAGAAGUGAUGGGAUUUGCCCCUGGUCUCCCACCCAGCAAGCCAGCGCUGACGAUAGCUGUUGGCAGACCGUGAAGGUGGUUCUCACUUGUCUAUGAAGGUAAUUCUCUUGCUCCUCCAUCAGCAGCUGAGCAGGGAUCUUAGAGCUUGGACCCACUGGUGUUUGAAAAGAGUUUGCAUGUAAUAUUAUGUGUCUCUUGGGUGUUGGGUUUACCAGAGCAGGCAAGCUGAGUAUUGCACUCAAAUUUGCUCUGUACUCCAUUUGGCUUCGGAGGAAAAGAGCAUCAGAGAGCGAUUAACCGUGAACUGUGAGGUUCUCGCACUUACCAUUCACAUCUGCCUGACUUAAAAAUACUCCAGUCACUCUUUACUGAGUGAAAAUAAAAUAUUAUAAAACAAACACAUUAGGGCCCAAGUAUUUACCUCCAAACAGUGGUCAUCCAAAAAAAGAAAACAAUUUAAAUCCACCUAGAACAAAUAUACAAAUGUAAUGCAAAUAGAAGUUUCAUAAAAUAAUGCUUACUUUUAUUACAUGCGAUGCAGGUUAGUUAUUUCCUAUGUGAUUUUUAAAAUUGCUGAUUGGGGACUUCUCUGGUGGUCCAUUGGCUAAGAUGUGCACUUCCAGUGCAGGGGGCCCAGGUUCGAUCUCUGGUCAGGGAACUAGACCCCACGUACUGCAGCUAAAGAUCCCGCAUGCCGCAAUGAAGACUGAAGAUCCCGAGGGCCACAACUAAAUCCUGGCACAGCCAAACAAAAUUGUAACAUAAAUUUAAAAAAACAAGUACAUAAAAUUGCAGACUAGAGCCCCCAGAUUAUAAUACCAAUGACCAGGGAGAUUUGAAAAGCAGAGGCUUAAGACCAAAACAGAGGAAAUAAAACUCUUUCAUGCAGAUAUAAAAUGAAUGCAUAUUCAAGCUUUUGCUUAACCCAUUAAUCCAGGAACCCGUAAGAUCUUAUAACCAGUUUGCAAGGGAAUCCAAAGAAGAUUCUAGAAGACUGUAGGUCAGGAGUAUUGACAUGAAUGCGUACAUAGAGGCAAACCUGGAGAAACUGCUUACUUAUCUGUAUUAAUUUACAUGGUGAGAAAGCAAGAAUGGGUCUACAGGCUAGAACUAUUUUGCCUUGUUCUGCUACCUGUGCAGAGUUAUAAAAGCAACUCAAAGGCAACAAGAGGCUAGAAUGGUGUAACCUGAAAGGCUGUGCUCCAGACAAAGCCCAAUUUUCCACUGAUGCACAACUUUCCCCUACAGCCUCAUAAUUUCAAUGAAAGAUCUUUUUGCAUGAAAUGAGGGUGGUCCUGUCAGAUGGGGUGGGAGGUCUGAUCAUUUACACAGGUGUGGCACGCUUGCUAAUUCACCUUGUAGGCUUUCUUGAGUUUGCUUUGCUGGAAGUCUCUGUAAGGAACCUCAGUUUGGACUUUUAAAAGUCUGGUAUAUGUUAUCUCAAGGUACUGAAGCCAUCCCCAACAAGCUUUCUCCCCCAGAUUUCAUCUGUACUACUUAAAAAUUUGGGCAAAUUCCACUCUUCUCGAGGUCCCCAAAAUACCUUAAGGUGUCUGAGACCUGUUAGAUUGUUAUUAAAGGAUCAUUUUAACAAGAUGCAAUCAUGACUCUCCCAUCGAUGUAAAAAUAAACAAACAUUAACGAUUCUGUUUAACACACCAAUGAAGGAACCUGUAUGUUGUGACAGAUGAAAUAACGUGUGAGAAACACUUCACGUGAUGCCCUGCGCAAAUGAAAUGUCAAAUCCUUCUCAGGGUGGCCAUGGAUCUUCCGGGCACCGAACCUCAAGGGCAUCUAGUCCAGUGUUGCACAAAGCCGAGUCCGUGAUCCACCAGGACCAGAGUCUCAAGGGGUACUUGUUAAAAAUCCAGAUUCUUGAAUUUGACUGUAGACUCACCCUCAUAAUUUUGGGUGGGAAAUCUAGGCAUCUGAAUUUUUUUUUUAAGCAGUGAAAGGUUUAUUGCAGGGCCAAGCAAGGAGAAUGGGUGGCUCAUGGUCAGAAACCAUCCUCAACCUCUCGACGACUUUCAGGGGAGAGUUUCUAUAGGCAAAAUUUGGUGUGGAGGCUGCAGGGUGCGUGACUUUCUUCUAAUUGGCUGGUGGGGAAGUAAACAGGCAGAGCUCCAGGAAUUUCCAGCCCCAAGCAUCUGCAUUUUUAUCAAGUGCUCCAAUAAAAAGUAAAUUUAAAAAUAAAAGUAUCAAACACCCCAAGUAAUUCUUACGGAGACCAGAAUUACAUACACAAAUAAUUGAAAUAAAAGGUUCGUGAAAACUGAACUUAACCUCACUAUAUGGGUGCACCCUUUCUGUGCUGUUUUUUUAAACAGUGCUCUUCAGCAGGCUUUCUCAGCCUCAACCUUGCUGCUGUUUUAGACCAGAUCCUUCCUCCUGGGGGUGGUGGGGGCUCCCCGAGAUCUGAGCCGCAUCCUCGGCCCCCACCCACAGAGGCCAGGAGCCUGUCCUGCACCCUAUUUGUGACAGCUAGAAAUGUCUCCUGACCUUGCCACGUGUCACCUGGGGGGCAGACCACCCUGACUGAGAACCACCGGCCUUAACCCUACUCCGUUGUCGAUACCUGUUGAUACCUAUGGGUUAGAAUCCUCAACUUUAAAAGAACCAUUUUAAACUUAUUUUAGGAGUAUAAGCCCUGAAACAGACACAGGAGGUUCGCACACUGGCUGUCCUUUAGUGGCACAGCUCCCCGGGUCACAGAAACCUAAAAUUGAGCCUCAGUCCUCCUCUGUGAGUGAAAGAAAGUGAAAGUGAAAGUCGCUCAGUCAUGUCUGACUCUGUGACCCCCAUGGACCCCACCAGGCUCCUCUGUCCAUGGGAUUCUCCAGGCGAGAAUCCUGGAGUGGGUAGCUGUUCCCUUCUCCAGGGGAUCACUCCCAACCCAGGUCUACCACACUGCAGGCAGAUUCUUUCCUGCCUGAGCCACCAGUGAAUGAAAGAACAGCAGGCCUAAUGGAGGCAGCUAUUUGGGAGAUAAAAUGCAACAACCUAUGCAGAGCCCUCGCCUAGCCCCAGGCACCUCAAUUGGCAUUUGGCAACUAUGAGGCAUUGUAACCACAGUCCUUCAGAUUCCUGAAGCACGUGUGGUCGGAACCCACCUGGGAAAACAGAAAUUACUGUAAGGUUUCAUUGGGAGUUGCAUCGCCUCCUUGCUGGUGAAAGCUGAGAAGCUAAACUGGAAAUGGCUUAGCACUGGCGCAGCAGCUGGGGGUCGGGGCACUGAGCAGACAGCGGCGCUGGGGCAGCCACGCCAGGCAGGUCGCUUCUCCCUGAAGCUCCUUGCUCCCCAUGCCACCCUCAGUCCCCCACGGUGGCUCCUGGUGGCCAGAUCAGCUGGAAGCCACAUUGUGUUAGAUGCUCAGUCGUGUCUGACUCUCUGUGACCCCAUGGACUGUAGCCAGGCAAAAAUAUUGGAGUGGGUUGCCAUUCCCUUCUCCAAGCCACAGUACUAAACCAUAAAACAGCUGGUAUGUAGGGCCAAUCAGUGCAGCUCUGAAGGCCUGGCUGUCACUACCCAUGUAGUCACUACCCACGUGGUCCUGAGCCACUUGCUUCAGGCCCGAGCCUCAGUUUCCCCAGAAGCAGAGGGGGCAAUGGUGCAGAGAGAUCGAUGGGUCCCUGCACUUGGGGUACCCAUGAUGUCAUAGGAUGUUUGUUCUUGGCUCAGGUCCCAGCUCGAGGACCAGCCUCAUGGCUCUGGGUUGGAGUGUCCCCUUGGUAUCCCUUCCUCUCCUCCACCCCACUCGCUUCUCUCUUCCUGCUUCCACCCAGAAGGCCUAUGGCUCACUUAUUUUCUCUGUCAACUUCCACUGUGUCUAUAGGUUUGAAACUUGGGUUUUCAAAAUCCUUUUGAGUUAAUAUUAGACUCUUAAAAAACAACUGCAAAAAAGAUAGAAAGAAAGAAAGAAUUCCCCUGUGCUCAUCACCCAGUCUCCCUGAAUGUCAAGAUCUUACCAAACGUGCGGUGAUCAAGUCCGGGAAAUCCACACUGGUCCUGUACCAUUAACCUGAACUCUUGGCCUUAUGCACAUUUCACCAGCUUGGCCCCUAAUGUCCUUUGCCUGUUCCCAAAUCCCAUUUUGCAUCUUGUCCUUGUGUCUCCUUCGUCUCCUCCAGUGCCAGGUCCUCAGUCUUUCUUUCUCCGUGAUGACCUUGACACUGUGACGCGUCCUGGUCAGUCGUUUAGAAUGUCCCUCCAAGCGACUUGUCUGGGGGUGCACAUUCGGGGCAGGAACAUCCCCAGAGAUGAUGCUGUGCCCUCCUCAGUGCGUCUCGUCAAGGAGGUCGUGGUGCUGGUGUGUCUUGUUCCCGGUGAAGCUGGCCUGGAGCCCUUAAAGGCUGUGUCUGCGAUUUCUCCACUGUCAAGUCAUUCUCUCUCCCUUUGUGGUUAAUACAUGUCUUGGGGAAGUCUUUGAGGCUCUGCAAGGCCCACAGCGGAGACCACAGGAUUCUUGAUUUUUCACUUGUUUCUCUGCCCCAUGAUCUGUAUUCCUCUUUAUCUUCUUUUAUGACACAUCUUGCAGUGGAAU